AACGUGAACGGGGCAACCCUAGUAAAGUGGCGUACGGGUGAGUAAUACGUAGGUAAUCUACCCCAGAGUCUGGAAUAACCGGCCGAAAGGCUGGCUAAUACUGGAUAGAGCGAGGGGAUCCGUAAAAGGAUCUUUCGGGAAAGGGAGCUGGCAACGGCCCUUGCUCUGGGAUGAGCCUACGCCCCAUCAGGUAGUUGGCGAGGUAACGGCUCACCAAGCCUAUGACGGGUAGCUGGUCUGAGAGGAUGAUCAGCCACACUGGAACUGAAACACGGUCCAGACUCCUACGGGAGGCAGCAGUGGGGAAUCUUGCGCAAUGGACGAAAGUCUGACGCAGCCACGCCGCGUGAGUGAAGAAGGCCUUCGGGUUGUAAAGCUCUGUCGUGCGGGACGAAAACACAUUGGGUGAACAGCCCAGUGGACUGACGGUACCGCAAAAGGAAGCACCGGCUAACUUCGUGCCAGCAGCCGCGGUAAUACGAGGGGUGCAAGCGUUGCUCGGAAUUAUUGGGCGUAAAGGGUAGGUAGGUGGUUUCGUUUGUCUGGGGUGAAAGCCUUGAGCUUAACUCAAGAAGUGCCUCGGAAACGGCGAAACUCGAGUACUGGAGAGGGUCGU
rnacentral:rRNA from 1 species